CUCCGGGGGCAAGAGGUUCGACUCGAGCGACGCGAGAGAACGUUGCGUCAGCAACGGCCCGCAGGGCGAGCCACGCAGUGGCGAGUCAUCCUCUCCUGGCCUGCU
rnacentral:sRNA from 1 species